UACGAAGGGGGCUAGCGUUGCUCGGAAUCACUGGGCGUAAAGCGCACGUAGGCGGAUUGCUAAGUCAGGGGUGAAAUCCUGGAGCUCAACUCCAGAACUGCCUUUGAUACUGGCGACCUUGAGUCCGGGAGAGGUGAGUGGAACUGCGAGUGUAGAGGUGAAAUUCGUAGAUAUUCGCAAGAACACCAGUGGCGAAGGCGGCUCACUGGCCUGGUACUGACGCUGAGGUGCGAAAGCGUGGGGAGCAAACAGG
rnacentral:rRNA from 1 species